GAUGAAGAACGUAGCGAAAUGCGAUAAGUAAUGUGAAUUGCAGAAUUCAGUGAAUCAUCGUAUCUUUGAACGCACAUUGCGCCCGCCAGUAUUCUGGCGGGCAUGCCUGUCUGAGCGUCAUUUCAACCCUCAUGCCCCUAGGGCGUGGUGUUGGGGAUCGGCCAAAGCCCGCGAGGGACGGCCGGCCCCUAAAUCUAGUGGCGGACCCGUCGUGGCCUCCUCUGCGAAGUAGUGAUAUUCCGCAUCGGAGAGCGACGAGCCCCUGCCGUUAAACCCCCAACUUUCCAAGGUUGACCUCAGAUCAGGUAGGAAUACCCGCUGAACUUAAGCAUAUCAAUAAGCGGAGGA
rnacentral:misc_RNA from 1 species